CAUGCAAGAUUGGUGACUUCAGCUGUAAUUGCUAAAAUUCACACGAUUGAUUGGACUGUACAACUCUUAAAAACUGAUACUCUUCUUGCAGGCAUGAGGAUCAAUUGGUAAGAAUCCCAAACAAGCUCUCUUUGAAUGAAGAUUUUAAGCUAAAAACAGAGAGCUAAUAUUAAUCCUCCAUUCCAAGUUGAAUGAAGAUUAAAGCUAAAAACAUGUUGAAAAUUUGACACAGGUAUGGAUUUCUGGGGAAGAAGGUUAAGGAUUUGUUUGGACACAUUGGAGGACCUUUAUUUAGUGGAUUGGUUGGUCUUAAAAGGCCAAGAGAUCAUGGAGUUC
rnacentral:lncRNA from 1 species